AGAGUUUGAUCAUGGCUCAGGAUGAACGCUAGCGACAGGCCUAACACAUGCAAGUCGAGGGGCAGCAUAAAGGUAGCAAUACUUUGGUGGCGACCGGCGCACGGGUGAGUAACACGUAUGCAACCUACCUGUAAGCGGGGGAUAACCCGGAGAAAUCCGGACUAAUACCGCAUAAAACCGUUUUUCUGCAUGGAACGAGGGUUAAACAUUUAUGGCUAACAGAUGGGCAUGCGUAUGAUUAGAUAGUUGGUGAGGUAACGGCUCACCAAGUCAACGAUCAUUAGGGGUUCUGAGAGGAAGGUCCCCCACACUGGUACUGAGACACGGACCAGACUCCUACGGGAGGCAGCAGUGAGGAAUAUUGGUCAAUGGGCGAGAGCCUGAACCAGCCAAGUCGCGUGAGGGAAGAAGGUUCUAUGGAUUGUAAACUUCUUUUGUAAGGGAAUAAAAUGCGCCACGUGUGGUGUUUUGUAUGUACUUUACGAAUAAGGAUCGGCUAACUCCGUGCCAGCAGCCGCGGUAAUACGGAGGAUCCAAGCGUUAUCCGGAUUUAUUGGGUUUAAAGGGUGCGUAGGCGGGAGAUUAAGUCAGUGGUGAAAGUUUGCAGCUCAACUGUAAAAUUGCCAUUGAAACUGAUUUUCUUGAGUGUAAAUAAGGUAGGCGGAAUGUUGUGUAGCGGUGAAAUGCAUAGAUAUAACACAGAACACCAAUUGCGAAGGCAGCUUACCGGGCUACAACUGACGCUGAGGCACGAAAGCGUGGGGAUCAAACAGGAUUAGAUACCCUAGUAGUCC
rnacentral:rRNA from 1 species